rnacentral:sRNA from 1 species
GCCAGGCAUGGUGGCACACGCCUGUAAUCCCAGUUGCUUGGGAGGCUGAGGUGGGAGGAUUGCUUGAACCCAGGAGGCAGAGGCUGCAGUGAGCUGAGAUCGUACCACUGCACUCCAGCCUGGGUGACAGAGCGAGACCCCAUCUCAA